AACGAACGCUGGCGGCAGGCUUAACACAUGCAAGUCGAGCGCCCCGCAAGGGGAGCGGCAGACGGGUGAGUAACGCGUGGGAAUCUACCCAUCUCUACGGAAUAACGCAUGGAAACGUGUGCUAAUACCGUAUACGUCCUUCGGGAGAAAGAUUUAUCGGAGAUGGAUGAGCCCGCGUUGGAUUAGCUAGUUGGUGGGGUAAAGGCCUACCGAGGCGACGAUCCAUAGCUGGUCUGAGAGGAUGAUCAGCCACACUGGGACUGAGACACGGCCCAGACGCCUACGGGAGACAGCAGUGGGGAAUAUUGGACAAUGGGCGCAAGCCUGAUCCAGCCAUGCCGCGUGAGUGAUGAAGGCCCUAGGGUUGUAAAGCUCUUUCACCGGUGAAGAUAAUGACGGUAACCGGAGAAGAAGCCCCGGCUAACUUCGUGCCAGCCGCCGCCGUAAUAC
rnacentral:rRNA from 1 species